UGAAAAGUUCAUUGAAAUAGAUAAAUUGUGUUCUACUGAUCUGCCGUUAGAAACCAAACUGAGGAUGCUGAAUUUUAUGAAAAGAUAUGGUAAAACUCCAUUUGGAAUAAACAUCGGCGGAUUUUUUUAUGUUAAAAAGAACUUCUUCAUUCGAUUUUUCAGUGCCAUAUAUUCAGCGUUGUCUCUCUUUGUACAACUUUUAAUAGCCAAAAAGCAACCUCCUUGUAAAAUUAGGGUUGAAGAUCUAAUACAAUAAGCUGUCUUGCCUUAUUGAAUAUAAACAGAUGUCAUCAGAUGAUCGGUACCGGAUCGGCGAUGGCGAUCCGUACGUUAAUUAAAAUGCACUUUACAGAUUGUAUAAAGGUUUUCUUCAAUGUCAUUUUGUAUAUACAAAAAGAAUUUAAAAAAAUUAUUUAUUGGUUCACUUGUGCCUAAUGGAUAAGGCAUAAGUUUC